rnacentral:RNase_P_RNA from 1 species
UAGGAGCGACAGGUAGUUGCUGGUGAAGAGAUUCACGAGAGGAAAGUCCGUGCUACAAGUGAGAUAGGACUCCAUCUAACCGAUGGCCAGAGUAAUCUGAGGGCAAGUGCAACAGAGAGUAUGAAAACCAUUUAGGUGGUAAAAGGUGAAAGGGUGGUGUAAGAGACCACCAGUACUUAUGGUAACAUGGGUAGCUAGGUAAACCCUGUCCGUAGCAAGAAGCAUAUGGUUGAAAUCUCACAUUUUUAGUGCUUCGCUUGAGCGUUUUGGCAACAACUCGCCUAGAUAAAUAACUACCCAACGACAGAACACGGCUUAUCGUCUCUCCUAAGCA